rnacentral:rRNA from 1 species
AACGAACGCUGGCGGCAUGCCUAACACAUGCAAGUCGAACGAGAUCCUUCGGGGUCUAGUGGCGCACGGGUGCGUAACGCGUUGGAAUCUGCCCUUAGGUUCGGAAUAACAGUUAGAAAUGACUGCUAAUACCGGAUGAUGACGUUAAGUCCAAAGAUUUAUCGCCUGAGGAUGAGCCCGCGUAGGAUUAGCUAGUUGGUGUGGUAAAGGCGCACCAAGGCGACGAUCCUUAGCUGGUCUGAGAGGAUGAUCAGCCACACUGGGACUGAGACACGGCCCAGACUCCGACGGGAGGCAGCAGUGGGGAAUAUUGGAAAAUGGGCGCAAGCCUGAUACAGCAAGGCCGCGUGAGUGAGGAAGGCCUUAGGGUAGUAAAGCUCUUUUACCCGGGAAGAUAAUGACAGUACCGGGAGAAUAAGCCCCGGCUAACUACGUG